CUGACCAACAUGGAGACGGUGCACAUCCCGACGACCAGCCAAGCGCUGGGACACGACCAGACAGGGAACCCCAUGCAGCAGUACAGCACCAUCGACCAGUACUCCAUCCCCAUGCUCAUGGGCUUCAUGCCUGCCGUCAGCAACCCAGGCGGGUUCUCUCAAACCCCCAUGGGGACCCCCGGCUUCCACAAUAGGCAGCAGUAUUAGGUCCAUAUCCAUGCUUUACACCAGGUUGGAGUUGAUUGGAAAGUGUAGGCAUUUCGUCAGCUUUUCACAGUGUUGGAAGAAGAACAUCUGAACGUGUUCUGUGAGCUGCAAAUUCUCUUUGCAGAAAGAAUUGAAUCACCAAGCCCAAUGCUUGAUACAGUGACAGAGAAGAAUCAAAGAUGCAGAAAAUGAUGAAGACACGAGUGAAUCACAGUCAAGUGCUUUAGGUCUAGAGCUUAUGUGAAGGAGAGAACGUCCAGUACAGUUUAGUUCAUCCUCGGAGAGUUGACAUCAGGUUCUUCCCAAGUUCCUGUCCAUCAUGACAGAUUGGAGUUCAAGACAUGCAUCAAAAGACAAGUGAAGUAGUCAACUAAACUUCAGUAUUGUAUAGAACGGUAAACGUGAGAAAUGUGUAUUACUUUAAUGUAUUUUAUGUUGUAUGAUGAAAAAAAAACAGUUCAUUGUUUUAGAGGCAAUGGAGAUUGGUAUAUGCUGAAAUCAGCUAAUAGAUCAGUGAAUUUGUCAAAAUUUGAGGUGUUCGGCUAUGUGCAAGUCCCAUGUGUGAUUUGGGAAAAUCACCAGUAUUGUCAAACGCAAGAGAAGCAGAAUAAUACUGUUACUUUUGUAGUUUUGUACCUGAUAUAUUUGGUACCAUUUAGUAGAAAUAACUUUGUAUCAAGUAAAUGUAUUACAUUUAGAGUAUACUAUAUGUAUUAAAAAAAUGUAGUACAGUUCUCUUUUCCAAGGAUUGACCAAAAAUGCAAAAUUAAUUCUGUUUGGUUUCUGUUGGCGAUACAUGAACCAAGGUUCCAAUUUAGGAAACCUGGCUGGUAACAGUAACAGUUUAGAUGUUAGUUCUCUUAUUGAUAAUGGACACAGGCUAGUCCAUGUAGGUCUUUUGUUUUAAAUUUAUCUAAAAUUUGUCCUGCUACGAUACUGUUGUAGAAACAGUAGAACUAACACUGUACAUGUACAUAGUAGUCUGUGCAAUGUGGCUAUGACAGGCUCUGAUGGUGGCAAUUCCAUUGGCUCAGUGCAGUUCUGUGUAGGAAACAGUAGACCACUACCGGUAACCUUCCGCCAUCUUGAAUUUCAAGGUCAAAAGGAAUUUUCGUAAAUUUUAUCAUAACUUUGAUUUAUGCUAGUUUUGGAUGUUUCAAAAGUAAAAACUAAAUGAUCCACCAUAUGGUAAAAUGUUGAACACCAACCUUGCCGGCUUUUGUUUUUCAUAUUUGGCACCUUGGAAUGACAGGAAAAUGCUUUCAAUCACGGAGGUGAAAUACAGAGUAUGAUACAGAGUGUUGGUCAAUCAGAAAGGUUACUUUAAUGGUGGUCUUUUAAAAGAAGAAGAAUGGAGUUAAUGAUUUGCAUAUCUUUAUUUGCUAAUAUAUUAUAAUCUCUGUAUUAUGUAGAUCUAAUUCAAUAUGUAAUUUCGUAUAUUAUUGUUAAAUGUGCAAGCUAAAUUAUGUUAAAAUUGAUUGAAAAAGCAAUCAUUGUAUCAGCUUGGCUAGACCACUGCCUGUAGUUAAUAUUAUACGUUAUAGUAGAACCUUAUUCACAUAGGCAUAGGCAGCUCACAGCCUGGCAGUAUCCUUUAUGAUAAGUUAUU